rnacentral:rRNA from 1 species
UACGUAGGGUGCGAGCGUUGUCCGGAAUUAUUGGGCGUAAAGAGCUUGUAGGCGGUUUGUCGCGUCUGCUGUGAAAAUCCGGGGCUCAACCCCGGACUUGCAGUGGGUACGGGCAGACUAGAGUGAUGUAGGGGAGACUGGAAUUCCUGGUGUAGCGGUGAAAUGCGCAGAUAUCAGGAGGAACACCGAUGGCGAAGGCAGGUCUCUGGGCAUUAACUGACGCUGAGGAGCGAAAGCAUGGGGAGCAAACGGG